rnacentral:lncRNA from 1 species
GAUUCACUGAACAACUGACCUCAUCUUCUCUUCUUUUCUUCAUUAAAUUCUCAAUCUCUUUACUUCUCCUUUCCUUACAUAUAAAACCAUCUUCUCUCCCACUCUCUCUCUCUUACUCUGUUUCUUCUUCUUUUCUCACAAAAUAUUAUUAGAUCCAAUCUUGUUUCCAUAGAAUGAUGAGAAAAACACUCGUUUUGCUUUUCUUUGCUUCUAUUCUUGUUGUUUCUACACUCUCACAGUCUCAACCACAAAGAAGAACAAGAAGAAUGUUAGCUUUAGAUAUACAAGAAGAAGAAGAGAUCCCAAAGAACAACUCAAUUCCUACUAAGAAAUCCUUAGAUCUAUCCAAACCAAUCAUCCCCAAGAACAAAACCCAAAUCAUUGAGAAAAAACCCAAAUCUCAAAACACCUUAGAAACCAAAAAUCAGAUUCAAUCUUUACCAAUUCCAAAACCCAAAUUGCAAAAAACCCAAAAACCCAUUAAACCACUUUGGAUGGGAAUUGAUGGUGAUGAUGAUAAUGAUGAUUUAGUUACUGAAUUGAGUGAAUUCAGAGAUCUACCUUCAAAAUUUCAAAAACAACUUAUACCAAACCCAAAUUGCAAAAAACCCAAAAACCCAUUAAACCACUUUGGAUGGGAAUUGAUGGUGAUGAUGAUAAUGAUGAUUUAGUUACUGAAUUGAGUGAAUUCAGAGAUCUACCUUCAAAAUUUCAAAAACAACUUAUACCAGACCUUGAAAGAAUUUCAAUAACUUCAAAAGCUUAUAUAAAC